rnacentral:rRNA from 1 species
UACAGAGGGUGCAAGCGUUAAUCGGAAUUACUGGGCGUAAAGCGUGCGUAGACGGUCAUGUAAGUCGGGUGUGAAAGCCCCGGGCUCAACCUGGGAAUUGCAUUCGAGACUGCAUGGCUAGGAUGCGGAAGAGGGAAGCGGAAUUUCCGGUGUAGCGGUGAAAUGCGUAGAUAUCGGAAGGAACACCAGUGGCGAAGGCGGCUACCUGGACAAAUACUGACGCUGAGGCGCGAGAGCGUGGGGAGCAAACAGG